rnacentral:rRNA from 1 species
UACGCAGGGGGCAAGCGUUGUCCGGAAUCAUUGGGCGUAAAGCGCGUGUAGGCGGCUCGAUAAGUCUGCUGUGAAAGUCCAGGGCUCAACCCUGGGAUGCCGGUGGAUACUGUCGGGCUCGAGUCCGGAAGAGGAGUGUGGAAUUCCUGGUGUAGCGGUGAAAUGCGCAGAUAUCAGGAGGAACACCAAUGGCGAAGGCAGCACUCUGGGACGUGACUGACGCUGAGACGCGAAAGCGUGGGGAGCAAACAGG